rnacentral:rRNA from 1 species
GACGAACCGUGCGAACGUUGUUCGGAUUCACUGGGCUUAAAGGGCGCGUAGGCGGCGCGACAAGUCGGGGGUGAAAUCUUCCGGCCCAACCGGAAAAGGGCCCCCGAUACUGGCGUGCUGGAGGGAGGUAGGGGCGCGCGGAACUUCCGGUGGAGCGGUGAAAUGCGUAGAUAUCGGAAGGAACGCCGGUGGCGAAAGCGGCGCGCUGGAUCUCACCUGACGCUGAGGCGCGAAAGCCAGGGGAGCGAACGGG